ACCUUAUUCCGUGGUGUUGGGAU
rnacentral:miRNA from 1 species